GUGAUUUGUGUCCCUUCAGAACACACAAGCAGCAAGAUCGUCAAAACCAGCCUUCCCUAUUGGCUGUUUGAUUUUCUGCCACAACAAGGACACCAACAACACUGAACCUAUGCUUGCAGACACACUUCUACCCAUCUAAAGAAGAGACUUUCCAACAGUGCACUGAACUCUUGAUGACUGAUGUAGAAUUACAGGACAGCAGAAUACAUGGGGCUCCCAAACUGCAGAGGAAAUCUGGGAAAGAAGGAUAAGGC